CCUGAACAGAGGGAGAGGGGAGUAAAUAAGGGGCUGUUGCCAGAGCCUGAGCCCACCAGAGAAAGUCUGUGUGCAGAGGGAGGGCCUCAGGUCCUGCUGCUCCUUCAUCUUGACCCCUUCACACCCUCCUCUAACAGGGACCUCGACCUCCCUUCUCCACUCUCCUGGAUCCUGCUCAGUGUGGUGCAGGCCUUCUCUGGGGCCCUGGAGUUCCCACUGACCUUCAGCCCCGCCAGUUGCAUCUGCUGUUCCCACUGAAGACUCUCAUGCUAGUCAGUUCCUGCCUGGGGUCACCAGACUGCUUCGAAGUCAGGAAGAACAUGGUGGGGACGGUGACUUGAGUUUCCUGGACCACAGUGCAGGUCCUGUUCUCUACGAGUGAAUAUCCUAAUGACCAUAAUAAAGCCAGUUCCCUUUUUGGGGACUGACAUUUGUUGAGAACUCCCCCUAUGAAUGCUGUCUUGCUGCAAAACUUCACCUCUGGAUAAAGUGGCUGUGCUCCUUCUGGAUGUCUGCAUCAGGGCUGCUGAGGCACAGCUGAGAAUGCACCACACAGCUGACUACGCUGCUGAGCAAAUCUCAUUACUAAAUGCACAUCCCUUUCAAGGAUGCCAGGCGUUAGGGCUGCAUUGCAACUUUGAUGGACACUGGGGAUUAAUGCCUGUGUGUCCUUGUUCCAUUAAAAAGUUUGAAGUUUG
rnacentral:lncRNA from 1 species